rnacentral:ncRNA from 1 species
GUCAGAGGCGCACUUUAGCAUGAUUACCCGCGCGGAGGGCACGCAGCCCUGCGAGGCGCGGCAAAAGGGCUGAGUGCCGAAGCGAGCGCGGUUGCGUAGCGCGCCCGCUGGGCGCAGGGCGAACAGCUUUGCGACUGUCACGCGGACUGUG